rnacentral:rRNA from 1 species
AGCGCAUACGGUGGAUGCCUUGGCAGUCAGAGGCGAUGAAAGACGUGGAAGCCUGCGAUAAGGCUCGGGGAGCUGGCAAACAAGCUGUGAUCCGGGCAUUUCUGAAUGGGGAAACCCACCGACUUUCGGGUCGGUACCUUACACUGAAUCCAUAGGUGUAAGGGGCGAACCGGGGGAACUGAAACAUCUAAGUACCCCGAGGAAAAGAAAUCAACCGAGAUUCCCUAAGUAGCGGCGAGCGAACGGGGACCAGCCCUUAAGCUGGACAACUGGUAGGAGAAGGCUCUGGAAAGUGCCGCCAUAGUGGGUGAUAGCCCCGUAUCCGAAACCUGAGUCUGGUGAAAUCGAGUAGGACGGGACACGUGAUAUCCUGUCUGAACAUGGGGGGACCAUCCUCCAAGGCUAAAUACUCCUGACUGACCGAUAGUGAACCAGUACCGUGAGGGAAAGGCGAAAAGAACCCCUGUGAGGGGAGUGAAAUAGAUCCUGAAACCGUAUGCGUACAAGCAGUCGGAGCGGACUUGUUCCGUGACGGCGUACCUUUUGUAUAAUGGGUCAGCGACUUAUGUUCAGUGGCGAGGUUAACCGUUUAGGGGAGCCGUAGGGAAACCGAGUCUGAAUAGGGCGAUUUAGUCGCUGGGCAUAGACCCGAAACCGGGCGAUCUAUCCAUGAGCAGGUUGAAGGUGCCGUAACAGGCACUGGAGGACCGAACCCACUGUCGUUGAAAAGCCAGGGGAUGACUUGUGGAUCGGAGUGAAAGGCUAAUCAAGCCCGGAGAUAGCUGGUUCUCCCCGAAAGCUAUUUAGGUAGCGCCUCGGACGAAUACCACAGGGGGUAGAGCACUGUUUCGGCUAGGGGGUCAUCCCGACUUACCAACCCGAUGCAAACUCCGAAUACCUGUGAGUACUAUCCGGGAGACACACGGCGGGUGCUAACGUCCGUCGUGAAGAGGGAAACAACCCAGACCGCCAGCUAAGGUCCCCAAGUACCAGUUAAGUGGGAAACGAUGUGGGAAGGCUCAGACAGCUAGGAGGUUGGCUUAGAAGCAGCCAUCCUUUAAAGAAAGCGUAAUAGCUCACUAGUCGAGUCGGCCUGCGCGGAAGAUGUAACGGGGCUCAAACUGGUCACCGAAGCUGCGGCUGCAUACUUUGUAUGCGGGGUAGGGGAGCGUUCUGUAAGCCUGCGAAGGUGUGUUGAGAAGCAUGCUGGAGGUAUCAGAAGUGCGAAUGCUGACAUGAGUAACGAUAAUGCGGGUGAAAAACCCGCACGCCGGAAGACCAAGGGUUCCUGCGCAACGCUAAUCGGCGCAGGGUGAGUCGGCCCCUAAGGCGAGACCGAAAGGUGUAGUCGAUGGGAAACGGGUUAAUAUUCCCGUACCUUGGAUAGCUGCGAUGGAGAGACGGAGAAGGCUAGGUGAGCCGGGCGACGGUUGUCCCGGUUUAAGCGAGUAGGGAGUGGACUUAGGCAAAUCCGGGUCCACAAUCCCGAGACGUGACGACGACUGCUCAUAGAGCGGGAAGUCAUUGAUGCCAUGCUUCCAGGAAAAUCUUCUAAGCUUCAGGCUAUUCGAGACCGUACCCCAAACCGACACAGGUGGUCAGGUAGAGAAUACCAAGGCGCUUGAGAGAACUCGGGUGAAGGAACUAGGCAAAAUGGUGCCGUAACUUCGGGAGAAGGCACGCUGGCAGUAAGUGAAGCCCCUGCGGGUGGAGCUGAGACCAGUCGAAGAUACCAGGCCCCUGCGACUGUUUAUUAAAAACACAGCACUGUGCAAACACGAAAGUGGACGUAUACGGUGUGACGCCUGCCCGGUGCCGGAAGGUUAAUUGAUGGGGUUAGCGCUUGCGCGAAGCUCUUGAUCGAAGCCCCGGUAAACGGCGGCCGUAACUAUAACGGUCCUAAGGUAGCGAAAUUCCUUGUCGGGUAAGUUCCGACCUGCACGAAUGGCGUAACGAUGGCCACACUGUCUCCACCAGAGACUCAGUGAAAUUGAAAUCGCAGUGAAGAUGCUGUGUACCCGCGGCUAGACGGAAAGACCCCGUGAACCUUUACUAUAGCUUCACAGUGAACUUUGAACCUACUUGUGUAGGAUAGGUGGGAGGCUUUGAAACCAAGACGCUAGUUUUGGUGGAGCCACUCUUGAAAUACCACCCUGGUAUGUUUGAGGUUCUAACUCAGGUCCCUAAUCGGGAUCGAGGACACUGUGUGGUGGGU